rnacentral:rRNA from 1 species
UACGGAGGGUGCGAGCGUUGUCCGGAAUCACUGGGCGUAAAGAGCGCGCAGGCGGUCGUCCAAGUCGCGUGUGAAAGCCCCCGGCUCAACUGGGGAGGGUCACGCGAUACUGGUCGACUCGAAGGCAGGAGAGGGUAGUGGAAUUCCCGGUGUAGUGGUGAAAUGCGUAGAUAUCGGGAGGAACACCAGUGGCGAAGGCGACUACCUGGCCUGUUCUUGACGCUGAGGCGCGAAAGCUAGGGGAGCAAACGGG